CACGUAGGGGGCAAGCGUUGUCCGGAUUUAUUGGGCGUAAAGAGCUCGUAGGCGGCUCAGUAAGUCAGGUGUGAAACCUCCAGGCUCAACCUGGAGACGCCACCUGAUACUGCUGUGGCUAGAGUCCGGUAGGGGAGCGUGGAAUUCCUGGUGUAGCGGUGAAAUGCGCAGAUAUCAGGAGGAACACCAGCGGCGAAGGCGGCGCUCUGGGCCGGAACUGACGCUGAUGCGCGAAAGCCAGGGGAGCGAACGGG
rnacentral:rRNA from 1 species